AUGUCCCACGCGCACGCUCAGGUUCCUCCGUGCCGUCCACACCCACCCGACGACUGCUCGCUACGGUUUAUUAGUC
rnacentral:sRNA from 1 species